ensembl:lncRNA
AACUAGCUGAAACUGCUGCACAAAGGUUUCAGUCUCUUAACACAGGGACACAGCGGGCGUCUGAUACUUUGUGACUAACCUCUGAUGAAGAACACUAGGAUAGCAGCUGGCUGGUGUGGGAAGGACAGCCAUCUUUGGCACCAGCAAAGAUGGCCCUGUUCAGCUGGUGAAAUGGAAAAGUCUGACAUUUCUGAACCUCCUCUGUGAAAAUCUAAGCCUGGAGGGAAAUUUAUAUGACAGUCCUUCUAGUAAUAAUCUAUUUCAUUCAAGCUUGUUGCUGGCUCUACUGUAGGAAGAAAAUCAGAUGAACAAAGCAGAGUCAACCAUUAGGUAAAAAUCAACUGAUUGCAUUCAGCCUUGAUGUUAAAUAUUUCUUACUCCUGUGAAAUCCAGUAAAGAGUAUUGAAGAAAACUGUUUGUCUAGAACUGGCCAAGAGAUUUUAUUAGCAUAUAUCAAAGCAUUACUGCAGCUAAAGCAAAUGUGCCUGUCUCUUGGCAUUGCUAUGGGAUACCUUUCAGUGUCCCAGUGCCUGGCACAUUCCCAGAGAAACAUGGCACACAUCUUCCCUGGCCCUGCAUGCCUCUACCCAGGUAAUGUUCUAAAGCAUUUGCAUGUUUACUGAACAAAUGAUCUGUAGCCAAACCAAACAAUAAAAAGUGGUGUUUUCACUUGAUGCUUUUGUUUCAUUUACAGGCAGGCCCACGUUAAUUAUGGUGGCAAAAUGUUUAAGUUUACUGAUCUCAGUAUCUUCACAGCACUCUGUCUUGGGGAGAACACAUGCAGGGUGGAAAUGUGGGUGUACUUAGGAAGAAGCUCGGUUCCCCUUGGAACAGCUCAUCUGGAAUGAAUGAGUUUGUUAGUACUGAGGAGAAAAAAUAAAAGCUUAUGUUUUCUAUUUGUUAGGAGCAGAUUUUUUUUUUCCUACAGGCUUGAAUGUCAACAGGAUGAGGGUCAGAGCAGUCAUCAGCUAAUUUUGUGACACAGCAGGCCUCCUAAUUCCCCUUGGCCUGCUCUUCUCCCUCUUGAAUGUUGAAAGCUUUAAUUGAUGUGAGUGUGGUUUAUUGAUCCUGAGCAGAAGUAAUAGCCAGAGGAGGUCAGAGUAUCCUUAGGCCAGUCUAGAGAGGAUGUAAUGAGACAUGAAGGACUUGUAAUGGAUUAAAGAUCUGGUUGUGCUUCAAUGAAAUCAAAGUUCCUUUGAUUUUUAGCAGCAAAAUUCUUAGCCAGAAUAAGGGAAAGGUAUAUUAUUUCUUUGUCUAAAAAGAAAAUUACACUCCAUAAGAAAGAAAAAGCUAUUAUUUGUAAAGUCAGCAUGUCAGAGUGUGAUCUACCUCUGGUUUUGAUUUAUUUGUUUUAUUUAUUUACAUUUGACUCAAUUUAGAAGUCUGACUACAGCAAUGUGCUCAGGAAACAGCUGUAUUCCAUAGCAAGAUUUUUUUUCCUGUAGAGAAGUGGACUCUCAAGAGCAACUUCAGUCCAUGUAAAAUAAAAUACUUGAUUUUUUUAGCCUCUUUAGAACCUGUAAAAAUGAAGACUAGAAGAUUACAGGGUAAGGGGUUAGUAAAAAGAAAUGUCCCUAUAGCCUAUAGAGGUGUCUGAGAGCACCUCAUACUGUAGUCCAGCGAGCAGUGUCCUUUCUGUACAAUUCCUUAGUUCUCCUGUGAGGGAUGGUACCACAGUCCCACUGUCUACUAUCAUUAUCAUUUUCUUAUUCUUGCAAGUGAAGCCUAUGCGACUCUGAACUGGUAAGAUCAAGCUGUUCAAUUGAAUUUAGCUACAGUUAACAUCAUCAUUCACAGCAAAUCUGUUGCAAUAGAGUUCUACGUACCGUGGGCCAAAAUGGGCAUGUAGAGCAGUGAUUCCAGAGGCUGUCUCCUCUCCAGUGUACAAUCUGUAGUUAUACUCUAACAUUAUGUAUUUUAUGUAAAUUGUCAAUACUGCAUGUAAUAUUGCAGUGUCCUAUUUACGCCAAGGACUCCUAAUAUGUUUUCUCUGCAAUUAAACCAUAUUAACAUCAAAAUGAUGCUGUAUUUUUGACCAGUAGAACAUGUGAAUACUUGCUGUUUGGAAACAUAAUGGAACUGCUAACUCAGGGUCUAAAUUUGCUACGAGAAAUAGGCUGAAAAUACUGUUACUCUUCAAUAAUAAUGCAAGACACAGCUUAUUCUUGAAUUAACUUCACUGCAUACAUCUGUGCAUUUUUUUCUAUUUAUUCUGAAAUAAACAUGUGUAUUUGAU